UAUAGAUGAUGAAGUAUGCACUGGGCUCUGAGCAGCUCUAUGAGCUUCUUUUUGAUGGACAUUGCAGCCUAGAAAGCUAAUCUGAUAUA
rnacentral:snoRNA from 1 species